AUACGGAGGGUGCAAGCGUUGUCCGGAAUUAUUGGGUGUAAAGGGUGUGCAGGCGGGGCGGUAAGUCAGGGGUGAAAGUCUACGGCUCAACCGUAGGAUGGCCUUUGAUACUGUCGUCCUUGAGUCCCGGAGAGGCCAUUAGAAUUCGUGGUGUAGCGGUGAAAUGCGUAGAUAUCACGAGGAAUACCGGAAGCGUAGGCGGAUGGCUGGACGGCGACUGACGCUCAGGCACGAAAGCGUGGGGAGCGAACAGGAUUAGAUACCCUGGUAGUCCACGCUGUAAACGAUGGAUGCUCGGUGUUCGACUCCGUUAGCGGGUUGAGUGCCCAAGUUAACGCGAUAAGCAUCCCACCUGGGGAGUACGCUCGCAAGAGUGAA
rnacentral:rRNA from 1 species